CUGGAGUCGUUUCCAAACACAGCGAGGACAAGGAGAUCUCUGGGAUCUGUCAGCACAGACGUCUAUGUUAUAGUGAAUUACCUUGAGCUGGUUGCAAAACUUGCCUGUUACAAAACUAUAAUUAAUGUUUCAGAAACUCUGGGGAAGAUUUGUUAUUGGCAUGUGAUGGAGCUCUGACCUUAAAUUCCUGAGUCAAAUCUAAGAGAACAAAACCAUGUAUCCCAGCGAGCUUGGCAACAGGAAUAAGAACCAUAAUGUGGCAAAAUCCCAAUAGAGAAGGACUGUUUCAUACCCUGACAUGCUUCUGAAUCCCAUUUGUUGGAAUUUGGUGGAUUCCCAGUUGGAGACAUGAUGAGAUUUCUUGCAGGCAGGUUGUAGUCAAACCCUGCUGAAAUGCCAAGGAGGCACGCUGCCCAUAUCAGCUUUUUCUGGUGCAAUACCAAACCCAUUCUACUACUCCACCAGAAGACCAGGAGAAUAACUUCCAGACAGCCAGUUUUCUUCACCCAUGAGAACUGCAGGCUCCAGAGCAGUAUGGACACACUCCAAGCUGCCUCUGAAUGGACUCACUCCCACGCUCCAGCCUGUGGCAAGAGAACCUUCUCAAGAGCCUCUUCUGAUGAAGCAAUGUCUCCUGUGGCUGCAGUGGCUGGGGAACACCAUGGUUUCCCCAUACCUUUCCCAGGGUGACAAGGGCUUGAGCUGUUUUGCCUUUGUGCCUCCACUUGCCCCAUGCAAUGGCAGUGGGAUAGCCCUGUGAACCAGAGAGAGCUGUUCCAGGCUGGUAAACCUCUUCAGGAAAGGAAUUAAACUUUGAAUCAUCCCUCA